AUUAGUGGCGAACGGGUGAGUAACACGUGAGUAACCUGCCCUAGACUCUGGGAUAAGCCCGGGAAACUGGGUCUAAUACCGGAUAUGCACCGUAAACCGCAUGGUUUUUGGUGGAAAGAUUUAUCGGUCUGGGAUGGACUCGCGGCCUAUCAGCUUGUUGGUGAGGUAAUGGCUCACCAAGGCGACGACGGGUAGCCGGCCUGAGAGGGUGACCGGCCACACUGGGACUGAGACACGGCCCAGACUCCUACGGGAGGCAGCAGUGGGGAAUAUUGCACAAUGGGCGAAAGCCUGAUGCAGCGACGCCGCGUGAGGGAUGACGGCCUUCGGGUUGUAAACCUCUUUCAGUAGGGAAGAAGCGAAAGUGACGGUACCUGCAGAAGAAGCGCCGGCUAACUACGUGCCAGCAGCCGCGGUAAUACGUAGGGCGCAAGCGUUAUCCGGAAUUAUUGGGCGUAAAGAGCUCGUAGGCGGUUUGUCGCGUCUGCCGUGAAAGUCCGGGGCUCAACCCCGGAUCUGCGGUGGGUACGGGCAGACUAGAGUGAUGUAGGGGAGACUGGAAUUCCUGGUGUAGCGGUGAAAUGCGCAGAUAUCAGGAGGAACACCGAUGGCGAAGGCAGGUCUCUGGGCAUUAACUGACGCUGAGGAGCGAAAGCAUGGGGAGCGAACAGGAUUAGAUACCCUGGUAGUCCAUGCCGUAAACGUUGGGCACUAGGUGUGGGGGACAUUCCACGUUUUCCGCGCCGUAGCUAACGCAUUAAGUGCCCCGCCUGGGGAGUACGGCCGCAAGGCU
rnacentral:rRNA from 1 species